UUCUAUUAUAAUUAUUAAUAGUAUAAUCUGCCCAAUGAUUAUUUAAAUAGCCGCAAAACGUGCUAAGGUAGCAUAAUCAUUCGUCUUUUAAUUGAAGACUAGAACAAAAGAUUUAACAUUUUAAUAAAUUUCUUAUUAAUAUUAUAUAUUUAAUUUAUUUYAAAUGUUAAAAAACAUUUAUAAAAAAAAAAGACGAUAAGCCCCUAUUGAACUUAACUUUAGUUUAACUGGGGCAGUUAAUUAAUUAUUAUUUUAAUUAAAAUAUUAUAAUAAAUAACUUAUUUCAUAAAUAAAAACAAGUUACCAUAGGGAUAACAGCAUAAUAAAUUUCAAAAGAUCUUAUUAAAAAAAAAGAUUAUGACCUCGAUGUUGAAUAAUAACCUAAUUUACGCAAUAGUAAAAUAAAGGAAGUCUGUUCGCCUUUUAAAAAAUUACA
rnacentral:rRNA from 1 species